rnacentral:snoRNA from 1 species
AAGAGUAUACUUUCAGGGAUCAUUUAUUUAGUUAGUAAUUGGAGAUGUGUUUGUGUAACAAGCUGGUUUUGCUAACCAUGCUGAAGAGUUAUAGUGUUUUCUUCUAAGAAUCAUACUAGCGGAUAGUGCUGAUCUGUGCUAGUUACUUUCUGUUGUGGAGGAUUGUCCUGUUUUUCAUGGGAAGAGCAGGGAAGGGAACCCCAGUCUGAGUGGU